UACGAAGGGGGCGAGCGUUGUUCGGAUUUACUGGGCGUAAAGGGCGCGCAGGCGGCCGCAUUUGUCAGGCGUGAAAGCCCCGGGCUUAACCUGGGAACUGCGUUUGAUACGGUGUGGCUAGAGUUCGGGAGAGGAGAGUGGAAUUCCCAGUGUAGAGGUGAAAUUCGUAGAUAUUGGGAAGAACACCAGUGGCGAAGGCGGCUCACUGGCCCGAUACUGACGCUGAGGUGCGAAAGCGUGGGGAGCAAACAGG
rnacentral:rRNA from 1 species